rnacentral:rRNA from 1 species
AAACUCAAAGGAAUUGACGGGGAGCACCACAACGGGUGGAGCCUGCGGUUAAUUGGACUCAACGCCGGGCAGCUCACCGGAUAAGACAGCUGGAUGAUAGCCGGGCUGAAGACUCUGCUUGACUAGCUGAGAGGAGGUGCAUGGCCGUCGUCAGUUCGUACUGUGAAGCAUCCUGUUAAGUCAGGCAACGAGCGAGACCCACGCCCACAGUUGCCAGCGUACUCUCUGGAGUGACGGGUACACUGUGGGGACCGCCGCUGCUAAAGCGGAGGAAGGAAUGGGCAACGGUAGGUCAGUAUGCCCCGAAUAUCCCGGGCUACACGCGAGCUACAAUGGUUGGUACAAUGGGUAUCUACCCCGAAAGGGGACGGGAAUCUCCUAAAACCAAUCUUAGUUCGGAUUGAGGGCUGCAACUCGCCCUCAUGAAGCUGGAAUCCGUAGUAAUCGCGUUUCAACAGAACGCGGUGAAUACGUCCCUGCUCCUU